rnacentral:lncRNA from 1 species
AACUCUUGGGGCUAGGGGAAGCAGGCAUGUGGAUGAGUGGGGGGACACACCGAACUCCGAACAAUUAAAACCCUCUUGAAAUAAUUGAGCUUUUGUGACAGAAAAAAUUAAAAGAGAAAAAAAAGAAACCCCAUAGCUCUCUUCUCCCCCUUCCCUCCCUGUCUAUAUUUUUUAUAUACAGUCCCUGCAUUUCUUCUUCAUUGUAACUGGGUGGAUUGAAAGGGAAGGAGACCUCAAAACCCAUAAAUUUUCUGACGAAAAGUUCAGACUUUUGACGGUAUUCUUCUUCAAUAUGUAUGUUUUCUCAUCAAAAUUUUGGCUUUGCCACUGAUUGUUCCAGAGUUGUCAAUAUGGUUCAUAGCUCUGCAACUAAGAAAAACGAGGAAUGGCUGGAGAAACUCGAACAAGGAAGCUAUGAUGGAAAGCCGCGGGUGUGAUGGAGAAGAAAGUCUUGGUUUUCACCAGCCAGCAGCGUCGAAUCUGGCAGAGGCUGGAGGGGCGGGGCCGAGCCUGGAGGAGGAGAGACGCGGCUUGGAGGAAAAAAACCGUGAAGAUGAGAAGAAAAGCUUUGUUUCUUUUAUGGGAUAUUUUA